rnacentral:sRNA from 1 species
GCACCUCAUAAAACGGGUGCCGGGAUUGGAACCCCGCCGACUAGCAAAGCGCACAACCGCGCCAGCGGUUUUUUU